GUUUUUUAUUUCUUAUCUCAAGCCACUUGCUAAACUUGACCAGGACAUGUGGCUGAAGGAUUUUGUGCUUGAUUUGUAUCCAGAUACUAAAGGUUGUUCUCCAGCUCUGUGAUUCCAGGAUCUGGUUGUAGCCUCCUUAUGUUAAUUCUCUUCAAUGGUCUAAGUAGUGCAUGUUGUGCUUGGAUGAGAAGAUCGUGCCUAAGACUACUAACUACAAGCUUGAUUUUAAUGGAUUUCUCUCCAAGGGAAGGAAAAGACGCAACAAGUGUCCUUAAAUGUUCCUACAAGAUGCAAAAUUUGACUUGGAUAGCAA